rnacentral:rRNA from 1 species
CCUACGGGUGGCUGCAGUAGGGAAUCUUUCACAAUGGGCGAAAGCCUGAUGGAGCAACGCCGCGUGCAGGAUGAAGGCCUUCGGGGUGUAAACUGCUUUUAUAAGCGAGAAAUACGAUGGUAACUUAUGAGUAAGGAUCGGCUAAAUACAUGCGAGCAGCCGCGGGCAUACGUAGGAAGCGAGCAUUAUCCGGAGUGACUGGGUGUAAAGAGUUGCGUAGGUGGGAUAAUAAGUAGCUAGUGGAAUCGGGUGGCUCAACCAUUCAGACUAUUAGCUAAACUGUUAAGCUCGAGAGCGUUGGGGGCAGGUGGAAUUUCUAGUGUAGGAGUGAAAUGCGUAGAUAUUAGAAGGAACACCAAUAGCGUAGGCAGGUUACUGGGACGGUUCUGACGCUGAGGCACGAAAGCGUAGGGAGCAAACAGGAUUAGAUACCCGGGUAGUC